rnacentral:rRNA from 1 species
CGGCUCAGUAACACGUGGAUAACCUACCCUUGAGACGGGGAUAAACCCGGGAAACUGGGUAUAAUACCCGAUAGAUCUCGACUGCUGGAAUGCAUCGAGCUUGAAAGCUCCGGCGCUCAAGGAUGGGUCUGCGGCCUAUCAGGUAGUAGUGGGUGUAGCGUACCUACUAGCCUACGACGGGUACGGGUUGUGAGAGCAAGAGCCCGGAGAUGGAUUCUGAGACACGAAUCCAGGCCCUACGGGGUGCAGCAGGCGCGAAAACUUUACAAUGCUGGAAACAGCGAUAAGGGGACCUCGAGUGCCAGGUUACAAAUCUGGCUGUCGUGAUGCCUAAAAAGCAUUGCAUAGCAAGGGCCGGGCAAGACCGGUGCCAGCCGCCGCGGUAACACCGGCGGCUCGAGUGGUAACCGUUAUUAUUGGGUCUAAAGGGUCUGUAGCCGGCCGGAUAAGUCUCUUGGGAAAUCUGGCAGCUUAACUGUCAGGCUUUCAGGAGAUACUGUCUGGCUCGAGGCCGGGAGAGGUGAGAGGUACUUCAGGGGUAGGGGUGAAAUCUUGUAAUCCUUGAAGGACCACCAGUGGCGAAGGCGUCUCACCAGAAC